AGCGAACGCUGGCGGCAGGCUUAACACAUGCAAGUCGAGCGGGCACUUUCGGGUGUCAGCGGCGGACGGGUGAGUAACGCGUGGGAACGUGCCCUCUGGUUCGGAAUAACUCAGGGAAACUUGAGCUAAUACCGGAUACGCCCUUUUGGGGAAAGGCUUGCUGCCGGAGGAUCGGCCCGCGUCUGAUUAGCUAGUUGGUGAGGUAACGGCUCACCAAGGCGACGAUCAGUAGCUGGUCUGAGAGGAUGAUCAGCCACACUGGGACUGAGACACGGCCCAGACUCCUACGGGAGGCAGCAGUGGGGAAUAUUGGACAAUGGGCGCAAGCCUGAUCCAGCCAUGCCGCGUGAGUGAUCAAGGCGUUAGGGUUGUAAAGCUCUUUUAUCCGGGACGAUAAUGACGGUACCGGAGGAAUAAGCCCCGGCUAACUUCGU
rnacentral:rRNA from 1 species